rnacentral:rRNA from 1 species
GCGCAGCAGGCGCGAAACCUCCGCAAUGCUCGAAAGAGCGACGGGGGACGUCCAAGUGCCUACGCUCAGCGUAGGCUGUUCCCGAGCCUAAAAGACUCGGGGAGGUAAGGGCUGGGUAAGACGGGUGCCAGCCGCCGCGGUAAAACCAGCUCUUCGAAUCGUGGGCAUGAUUAUUUGGCUUAAAGUGUGCGUAGCAGGACAGGAUAAGUCUCCUGUGAAAUGCCAGGUCUUAAGCCUGGCGCGUGCGGGAGAUACUAUCCGUCUUGGGACCGGGAUAGGUAUGAUGUACACAGUGGGUAGGGGUGAAAUCCGAUAAUCCAUUGUGGACAACCGGUGGCGAAGGCGUCAUACUGGAACGGGUCCGACUGUGAGGCACAAAGCUAGGGUCGCGAGCCGGAUUAGAUACCCGUGUAGU